rnacentral:rRNA from 1 species
UACAUGUGGGGCAAGCGUUGUUCGGAAUUACUGGGCAUAAAGGGUGCGUAGGCGGCUUGUUAAGUCAGGGGUGAAAGUUUUCGGCCCAACCGGAAAAAUUGCCUUUGAUACUGGCGAGCUUGAGUGCGUGAGGGGUAACCGGAACGAGUCGUGUAGCGGUGAAAUGCGUAGAUAUGACUCGGAAGGCCAACGGCGAAGGCAGGUUACUGGUACGCAACUGACGCUGAGGCACGAAAGCGUGGGGAGCAAACAGG